rnacentral:misc_RNA from 1 species
AAGUCAUAACAAGGUUUUCUGUAGGUGAACCUGCAGAAGGAUCAUUAUUGAAUUGUAAAAAGUGGGGAGUUGCUUUCGAGCGCUCCUCUACAUUCCUUAUUCCUAACACCUGUGAAUCGUUGCUGAGUCCGCUCAGUGGCACUUUUUUUGACACACACAUAAAAAUGUAUAGAACGUAAAACUAUAUAAAAGUAAAAAAGUACAA